UACAGAGGUCUCAAGCGUUGUUCGGAUUCAUUGGGCGUAAAGGGUGCGUAGGCGGCGCGGUAAGUCGGGUGUGAAAUCUCGGGGCUUAACUCGGAAAGGUCAACUGAUACUGUGCGACUAGAGUGCAGAAGGGGCAACUGGAAUUCCCGGUGUAGUGGUGGAAUGCGUAGAUAUCGGGGGGAAUACCAGUGGCGAAAGCGGCACCCUAGCAUUUUUCUGACGCUCAUGUGCGAAAGCGUGGGGAGCGAACGGG
rnacentral:rRNA from 1 species